rnacentral:siRNA from 1 species
UCCUCCUUUCCGGUGCCAGGUUA